rnacentral:rRNA from 1 species
CACGUAGGGCGCGAGCGUUGUCCGGAAUUAUUGGGCGUAAAGAGCUCGUAGGCGGCCUGUUGCGUCCGCUGUGAAAGCCCGGGGCUUAACCCCGGGUCGGCAGUGGAUACGGGCAGGCUAGAGGUAGGUAGGGGAGAAUGGAAUUCCCGGUGUAGCGGUGAAAUGCGCAGAUAUCGGGAGGAACACCAGUGGCGAAGGCGGCUCACUGGUCCGGUACUGACGCUGAGGAGCGAAAGCCAGGGGAGCAAACGGG